GUAUGGUGACCCAACCCCCUGCCAUCUUUAAUUCAUAAAAAAGUCCCUACGGCAAAGCUUUUGUCCACACUAGGUACAAAUGAUAGGCAAUUGCCUAAGGUUGCCUGGACCCAAAGACCCAGGUGGGUAAAGUUACGGAAGAAGCCUGGGACUCUCGCAGCACCUUACACCCACCAACUGAAUGUUUAGUCCAGUUGCUAACUUUGGUAUUGAAAUACAAUAACUUCACAUUCAAUGGUGAAUAUAAAAUAGAAGAUGUGGUAUGAUUGCCAAUAAGACAACUCUCCACAAGAGACCAAAUGACACAGAAAUUAACAACUAUAGGUCACCGUACGGCCUUCAACAAUGAGCAAAGCCCAUACCGCACAGUCAGGUAUAAAAGGCCCCGAAAUGACAAUGUAAAACAAUUCAAACGAGAAAACUAACGACAUAAUUUAUGUACAAAAAAUGAACGAAUAACAAAUAUGUAACACAUAAACAAACGACAACCACUGAAUUACAGGCUCCUGACUUGGGACAGGCACAUACAUACAGAAUGUGGCGGGGUUAAACAUGUUAGCGGAAUCCCAACCCUCCCCCUAACCUGGGACAGUGGUGUAACAGUACAACAUAAGAACGAACUAUAAAAAUCAGUUGAAAGAGGCUUAACUCAUCAGAUGGAUAAAAAUACAAAUACUACAAAUACAAGUGGACGUGGCCGGGUACUUGUACAUCCAAACAACAAAAAGACACUAAGUACAGAUCUGAGAGUACUCACAGUUACUGAAAGCUAGAUCAAAGCCACUAACAACUAAUAAAAAAAAUCAUGCAUCUUAGACUAAAUUAUCAAUCCGUACACAUUCAACAUCCAAUGGAUUUAGUGUAAAGACGUCAUAAACAGUCAGAGAAAAAAAUGACCUUGUGCAAUGCCAAGAUACAGGUAUCGACAGAUUGUAGAUCCAUGAAUGUGUAUAUGUAUAUAAAAUGAAUAUUUAGUUUGCUUUUAAUUUACUGAUAACAAAAUCAAUAUUAGUACCAAUAAAACAAUAUUUAAUCAUCUAA